rnacentral:misc_RNA from 1 species
GAUGAAGAACGUAGCGAAAUGCGAUAAGUAAUGUGAAUUGCAGAAUUCAGUGAAUCAUCGAAUCUUUGAACGCACAUUGCGCCCGUCUGUAUUCUGGCGGGCAUGCCUGUUCGAGCGUCAUUACGCCCCUCAAGUCCCCUGUGGACUUGGUGUUGGGGAUCGGCGAGGCUGGUUUUCCAGCACAGCCGUCCCUUAAAUUAAUUGGCGGUCUCGCCGUGGCCCUCCUCUGCGCAGUAGUAAAACACUCGCAACAGGAGCCCGGCGCGGUCCACUGCCGUAAAACCCCCCAACUUUUUAUAGUUGACCUCGAAUCAGGUAGGACUACCCGCUGAACUUAAGCAUAUCAAUAAGCGGAGGA